AUUGAACGCUGGCGGAAUGCUUUACACAUGCAAGUCGAACGGCAGCACGGGUGCUUGCACCUGGUGGCGAGUGGCGAACGGGUGAGUAAUGCGUCGGAACGUGCCGAGUAAUGGGGGAUAACGCAGCGAAAGUUGUGCUAAUACCGCAUACGCCCUGAGGGGAAAGUGGGGGGAUCGCAAGACCUCACGUUAUUCGAGCGGCCGACGUCUGAUUAGCUAGUUGGUAGGGUAACGGCCUACCAAGGCUUGGAUGGGUACGGGGUGUAAGAGCAUGCCCCCGCUCACUGGGACUGAGACACUGCCCAGACACCUACGGGUGGCUGCAGUCGAGAAUCUUCGGCAAUGGGCGCAAGCCUGACCGAGCGACGCCGCGUGCGGGAUGAAGGUUUUCGGGUUGUAAACCGCUGUCGUAGGGGAUGAAACGCUAGUGAGUUAUCUCAUUAGUUUGACUGAACCUAGGAGGAAGGGCCGGCUAAUCUCGUGCCAGCAGCCGCGGUAAAGUG
rnacentral:rRNA from 1 species